rnacentral:rRNA from 1 species
AUUGAACGCUGGCGGCAGGCCUAACACAUGCAAGUCGAGCGGAUGAAGGGAGCUUGCUCCUGGAUUCAGCGGCGGACGGGUGAGUAAUGCCUAGGAAUCUGCCUGGUUGUGGGGGAUAACGUCCGGAAACGGGCGCUAAUACCGCAUACGUCCUGAGGGAGAAAGUGGGGGAUCUUCGGACCUCACGCUAUCAGAUGAGCCUAGGUCGGAUUAGCUAGUUGGUGGGGUAAAGGCCUACCAAGGCGACGAUCCGUAACUGGUCUGAGAGGAUGAUCAGCCACACUGGAACUGGGACACGGUCCAGACUCCUACGGGAGGCAGCAGUGGGGAAUAUUGGACAAUGGGCGAAAGCCUGGUCCAGCCAUGCCGCGUGUGUGAAGAAGGUCUUCGGAUUGUAAAGCACUUUAAGUUGGGAGGAAGGGCAGUAAGUUAAUACCUUGCUGUUUUGACGUUACCAACAGAAUAAGCACCGGCUAACUACGUG